AUGGAUAAACAGCAAAUGGGCUCGGAAAAAAAGGAGGGCGGCCCUCUGAGAAAGGACGAACGUGGCUGGGCCCCAGGAGGAAGCCUGUCCAGCCGUCUUUCCCACCCACUGCCGGCGUUUUUAUUGCACCCAAACUCGGACUCGACCAAUAAACUUGAAGCGCGGCUCCAGGCCCGCGCUGCUGGCUGCCGGCUGCUGGCUGCUCGCUGCUGCCUGGGUCUGCGGCACGCACGGUCGGCCUGCGGCCGCCAGGACCCCGUGCGCGCCCCUGAGGGCAGGUGUUCCCGGGUCCCCCCUGCUUGGAAGGAGUUUUUCCUCCGCCAGAAGCAAGCCCUUCUCAGGACUGGGGUUUCUGCCUCUUCUUUUCCGAGGCUGGGAAGCCGCAUCCUAAAGACUCUCUGGCGUCGCGGGUCAGGACCCCGCGGCGGUGCCACUGGGAGCGUGGGUCCCGGGGGCGCACGGCCGUUUUCGGCCCCUCCCCUUCCACCCGCCGGGCUUUCUCGCUUCUUCCCUGUGUCUCCUCCCUUUCUUAUUUACACGAUCCGCAGAGGGGUCGGAAAGAUCAGACCGCAGCGCCGGACACAAAGGGUAGAGGGUUCCUGGGAGCCUCGGGUAUUCACAGCACAGAGGGGGGUCCCCAGGCGGCCUCAGCCCGCUUCCCGCCAGGACAAUGCGAGGGCCCAGGCUUCCCCGCCACAAAGCGCGCGGGCCGCGGGCCCCGGAUCUGUGUCCCCAGCGAAGCCCGCGCCCGCUCCGGGAUCCCGGAGCGGCACAGGCCCCCUGCCUCACCUCGCCGCCCCUCUCGGGAGCCAAGCGGGGGUACUUAGCUGCGAGGGGGCCGAUCCUCCUGUGCUGGUAAAGAGAAGGAGCGUCGGUCUCCUUCCUGCACGUGAACCUUCACCUCCUCGCACUCUUGUUCGCAUCUCAGUUCGGAGCAGGCUGGCUUGUCCAGGACCACUUGGACCCGCAGCACCCCUGACCCCAGGCGGAGAGGCUCCCCGGGGCCGACCAGGGGCCCCUGGACUCCAGAGCGAGAGGAUGCGAGGGGCAGGGACAGGGGUAGGGGGCCCGGCCCAGGACGCAGGGCGGUUGGCGGGCGCAGGGGGUGUGCACGGCGGCCAGGGCGGCAGGGACCCACGGGGUGGGGGUGGGUGGGGGGGUCCUGGCCACCCUCUGGCUGUGCGGUUGGGGGGUGCGGUAGGCACUGGAGACUGUGACAGAUUCCCCCCCGCCCCCCAGCCUUCCAGCGUGGAGCUGGGCAAGCUCUGA
rnacentral:lncRNA from 1 species